GUAACUCAAAUCUGUCAAGGCUAAGUUACUCAUUCAUGGUCAUUGUUCAUAAUAUUAAUACAACACCAUUUUAUCCAUCAUGGUAAGAACACAUAUUAUGCAUCAUAGAUCAUCACAUAUCAAGGCAUUCUCAUAGGAUUAGUAUACAUACUUGCACAACUCGUAACAUAACUCGAGUGCAUACUCACCAAUGACUUACCUCAUUGGGACCAUCAUCAACUCUUUCCUUGGAUUGCCCGUUGAACACUUGGAAUACUAAUUGGAUACUCGGAAAAGCCUUUGCACAUAAGUGCCUCAAUUGUAGCUAAAACUACCUCAUAUCUCAUGACAUUUCAAUGCUCACUCUCAUGCUAGUCAUCUAGACUCAUAAUUCCUAGUGACAUGUCACUCGUAUCCUAUUCUAUUCCUAAGGUUCAAACGGGAUUUUUCAUCGUCUAUUAAGGCUUUGUCUUAUCAUAUUUCUAUUAAUCACAUACACAUUAAUAUCUGUACAAUUCAUGUAAUGAUAACAUUUAAAUACAUGUAUAGCAUGGUAUUGUUUACAUACGAACUUACCUUGAUACCACAAAGGUGAAAAGGACAUACUCGUCCAUAAAUCGAUUUCUUUCCGUUCUAGGUCCAAGUCUCAAUUUUCAUCAUUUAUAACAUCACAUUUAGCCUACCAAUCAGUCACAAUAUUCAUAUGGGUCUAAAAAUCAUAUUUUUACAAAUUUUCAUUUUGACCCCUAAACUUUUGCAUAUUUGCACUUUUGCCCCAAUGCUCGUAAAUUAAUUUUUAUCACAUUUCUUUACUCCUUGAGUCUAGAUGAACCAUUUUCAUAGCUAUAGCAACUCAUAAUUUCAACUAUUUUACACAUUUACAACUCAUUUUACAACUUAGCAAUUCAGACCCUUUUAAAGUAUUUUCAUGCAAUUUCUUUCACAAAAGUUGUUUAUUAGACAACUAGGACUCAUAAUCUUCCAUAAAAACACAGCAAACAACACAUUUACUCUCAUGGUAAAACCCUAGACUCUUCAUCAUUUUGCGAAAUAAUCCCCUCUUAUGAAAGCUUAUGCUUUAAGGGUUCCAAAAAUACAAAAAUCAUCAAGCAAAGACAUUAAAAUCACUUACAAGCAAGGGAAAUAUGUUGCUGAAAUUUUCCAGCUUCAAAACCCUUUCUUUGCUGCAUAUUUCGGUGAAGGGGAAGAGAAAAAUGAUAGCUUUUUCUUCUUCUUUUUUUUAUUUGUUAAUAAUAAAACUAUUUUGUCUAAUUUUGACUUUUCAACUAUUUUAUCUCCCAUGGCCGGCCAUCACACUUUCAAUGGCCUAACUUCACUUUAAAGACCCCCAAUUUAAGAUACAAGGCAAUUUAACACCUUUAGGUAUUAAAACACAACUUUUACUUUUUACGCGAUUUAGUCCUUUUUCGAAAUUGGACUAGAAAUCGCUAAAAUUAAUAUACCAAAAUUAACAUGCACUUAUAAAAUCAUAUUAUAACACAUAAAAUAAUACUAAAAUAAUUUUCUCUGGCCUCGAAAUAGUGGUCCCGAAAUCACUGUUCCGACUAGGCCCAAAAUCGGGCUGUUACAUUUCUUCCCCCCUUUAGGGAUUUUCGUCCCCGAAAAUCUUACCAGAAAAAGUUGUUCUCUACUUUCACGAGUCACUUUUAUCUUUUUCUCACAACUUACAAAACAACUCCGCACAAGCUCAUACUCAAGAUUUCCCUUAGCUUUUUCAUAGUUGAGGUAUAAACCUUGGAGCUCAAUUUGAAACACUGGAGACUGACAUUCUUGGAACUAUAAACUCAGAAACAUACAACUCAGUCACAUCUGUUGAAUAAUAUAUCUGUACAUACUAAAAUAAUCAUGCAGACUUCCAUCAUCAAUCUUUCACAAUUCAACUUGCAUCUCUCUUUUUUCCUGGAAAUGAGAGACAUCCCGAUACGAAAUUCAUAACAGUCCUUUCUCAUUUUCUUCCCACUGUCAUCACUGACAAUAAUAAUCUCGAAUACAUUUGAUAUUCGGCUUUACCCUAUAGAAAAUUUGACAUCCUUUGAACGAAUAGACAAGAUACUGCUGUGAACUCUGUACUCAAUUCUCUGUAUACCCAGAGUUUCUCAGUACUGAAAUCUUACUCUAAAUUAAUAGUAAUAGAAACCAGAAAUCAAAUCCUCCCUGCAAUUCCAAAUUAAAAGUCGAAUCAUGCUGUACUUGUUUAAUUUACCACUUAUAGCCACAUUUCUAUACUCUGAUCAUCAACUGUUUAGAAACUUUACUAACAUGAAUCAAAUGAUUCCAACUUCAUAGAUGUGGUCUUUUUAUUAAUCAGGAUAACUAUACUUAUAACAUCUCUCGAACAAGAGAAAUCCAACUAAUAUGUUUCCAUAACAUACUUUCAAGAAUAAAACCCCAUCAUUUCUGACUGUACGACUACUUACCAAAGAACACGUAACUGUGUUCUCGAACCAGAGAAUAAACUUAAAUGCACAUAACUCAGAUUUACUUUUGCAGAAUAACCAUUCUUUACCCCAGGAAUUUUAAAGAAAUCUCGACACUGAAAUCCCCACACUUCUAUGGUCGAGCCAGAAGCUUAAUCAUAACAAAUUCUAAUAUGGCAAGUCAAAGAUUACUCGUAAAGAUAAGCCAAGCUUGAUAAUUCUCGAAACAAGAACGAGAGAAAAGCCAAUAUAAGAAAUUCCAAGAUAUAAAGACUCUACCAGAAAUCCGAGAAUAUAAUCCAGAAGAAAAUAAUAAAUAUGAUCCGGAAAAUCCCUCAGAGAAAACCAGAAGGAAACUACUGUCUAUACGCUCUAGAAUUUCUCGUAACAGAGAUAAUAUAAUUCUCCAAUAUGUAUAAACCAUAAUCAAUAGAACAUCAGAAUAAUCUCAUAUAGAUUUUUACUAUCAACUUCAUUCCAGUAUAUCAGAAUAGAAAUCUGAAGAGAUGGGGAAAUGUCGAUCAUAACUAACUGGACUAAUAGAACUUUUCAUCUAAUAUCACAGUCACUAGCAUCCUCAUACGGUAGAAUUUCCAUUCGAAAGGGAUAACCAUACGUAUUCCCCAGAAUAGAGGAAAACAUAGAAUACUCAGAAGAGAAAGGUAGCCAUCACUUUAUUUAAUUGAAUCCGUCAUAUUCAGACAUCUGUGCAAGUCUGACAUUAUUCCUCUAACUAAUUCUGUCUUCGCUAAUCUCAUACUAUUCCAUUAUUGUACUCUUCACUUUCACUUUUGCAAGCUUAUGCAACAUAUCUCUCGAAAAUCUCAUCGUAUAACUCUAUUCUGGUAAGGGGGCGAAGAUUGUAAAGCCUCUAAACUUUUGACUCUCAAGCAAAUACAUAUUCAACAACAACAUAGCAUUACACACAUCGAUUCAAACAUUUCAAAUUUCCAACUUGUUAUGAACACAUUUUCACAUAUCUUAGUAAUACAUGCAACUUUAUUUCGUGCAAAUAUUAGCUAAACAUAAGUGAAUUUAUCAUAACUCAAACUUUCAUUUAUUUUUCUCAAAUUACCCUUAAUGUUUUAUCAAAUUCCCAUAUUUAGUCUUAAUCACUUGCCAAUAUUUAUCAAAUUGGAGAACGUCUUAUGGUUUUGAGUACAUUGCUUACUUGAUGCCAUAGUUCAACUAUGGUCUUGUACUAGCUCUCAUCCAUCUGUGUCGAUGCCGUGUCCCAGACAGGUCUUACACUGACACAUGUAACCGUGCUGACGCAUGUCCCAGACAUGUCUUACACUAGCACAUCUCGUAGCCGACACAUGUCCCGGACAUGUCUGACAUUGGCUAACAUCUCGAGGCCGAUGCAUGUCCCAGACAUGUCUUACACUGGCUCUCAUACUGUGGCUGAUGCAUGUCCCAGACAUGUCUUACACUAGCCCUCGUCUCAAUGCCGAUGCCAUGUCCCAUACAUGGUCUUACACUGGCACACAAAUCUCUUGUAUUGCCACGGUCCAACCAUGGUCUUUUCCGUCAAUUCAUUAGUGAACGAUCGUACUCAUUCCCUGCAUUCCACCCAAUUUGAUCUUUCAUUACAACUUUCAUGCUAUUAUGACAUUUAUGAUUCUGUAACUGAGAUUAUAAAGCAUAACAUUACUGCAUCUUGACUUCAUCAAUCUAGACAUAAAUGUCAACCUCAUGUAUAUAUUGAUUAUUAAUCAUGCAAUAAAAGCAUUCAUACAUACAUUCUGUCAUUUCAAGCAAAUUUCUUUCUUUUCCUAAACACUUGGCCAAAUCAAGUUGGACAUUUAACAUCGUAUGAAUACUAACAUGCAUAAAAGCGUUUUUUCACAACUUAACUGUGUUUUACUCCACUAUUUCACAUUCUUUAACUCAAGAGUAUCACAUAGUGAAUACUAGUUCAUAUGAAAAUCAUUAAUGUCUUUUCAUACCUUUCCCAUUUUCAGCAUGUCACAAGCAUGAUUCAAUAAUCUCAACUUUACUCUUAUCUUUAUCAAGAUUUGCUCGGUUCGAAUUCAUUCCUGUCUUAAACAACAGUUUUGUUAGGGCCGAGAGAUAUCACACUAUCACGAGUAAUACUAUGGCAUGUAUAGCUAGACUCUCUUACGCUAGGUUAGUCUGAGAACCGACUAAACCAUGCUCUGAUACCACUAAAUGUAACACCCCUCGCCCGCAUCCGACGCCGAGACAGGGUUCGAGGUGCUACUUGACUUUUACUAACACUUCCAUACUAAAUAGGGCCAUGAAAUCUCAAAUAAUUAAAAACUUUUAUUUUCAUAUACAAUCUGUCCCAUAUACGGGCUUACGAGGCCCAAAACAUACGUCCGGAGUGGUUUGGGACCCAACCGAGAACUCAUGAAAAACUUAGAAAAUCUCUUGCAUCAAGGCUUCAUACGCCCGUGUGGGUAUAGAGCACACGCCCGUGUGGGUAUAGAGCACACGCCCGUGUGCUAGGGACACGCCCGUGUCCCAAACCCGUGUACAAAAACCUAGACAAAUACAAGGCUAUUUUCCAAGCCAUUUUGUCACACUCACAAUAGAUACACACAUACUUAUACAACAACAUACAACAUGGCAAAAUUAGGUACUUAAACAUUCCUAACAUGUCAUGAUUAUGGCAAUUUCACAUGCAAUAGAUAUAAUAGAUUUUACUCACAUCUUUACCAUAUUCAUACUAUAAUCAUUAUAAACUCAUCACAUAAUACCAUAUCACAUGCAUGCAUAAUUAAAAUAGAUUUACAACCCCAUAAUCAAAAUAGGCCAACACAUAUGGUUAAAGCCAUAUCACAUACUCUAAUAUUUACAACAUAUUCUCAAGUUUACUACAAGCUAUCUUUUUGAGCAACGGUCACUAAAUUAUUUAUAUAUAGAGUUAAGAAACUCCAAAUUAAGUUCCGUUAAUUUUACCUGAAACUAGACUCAUUUAUCUUUCUUUCAUAAAAUUUCCAGAAUUUUUGACUCAGCCAAUUAGUACAGUUUAUUCCUCAAGUUUGCUCCUGAUUCACUGUCUGACAGUUUCAACCCUUCUACACUAAAGUUCAAUUAUCUCAUAGUACAGGAUUCGAAUAAUGUUCUCGUCUAUUUCUCUUGAAACUAGACUCAUAUUUCUACUUACUAGUUUUUUUAUAGAAUUUUUUGUGAAGCCAUUUAGUACAUUUUAUUAGUUAAAGUUUCCCCUGUUUCAGGGUAUGACUACUCUGACCCCUGUGCACUACGAAUCGAAUUUCUCCAUGUACAGAAUUCUAAUGACCAUGCUGUUUGUUUCCCUUAAAAAUAGACUCAAUAAGGAAUGUAUACAGGUAAGGUAUGACUAUUAAUAAUUUUUUUACAAUUUAUGGUGAAUUUAUAAAAUCAGAACAGGGGAUCUCAAAUUCAUUCAGACCCUAUUUCACAAGAAUUUAAAUAUCACACAAUAUAGAAUUCUUUUUCUUCCUCUAUUUCUUUCAUGUGAAAAUAGACUCAUUAAGCUUUAAUCCCAUAUUUUAUUCUGCCUCUAACUCAUUUUCCACUAUUUUUAGUGUAUUUUCAAAGUUACACUACUGCAGUAACUCAAAUCUGUCAAGGCUAAGUUACUCAUUCAUGGUCAUUGUUCAUAAUAUUAAUACAACACCAUUUUAUCCAUCAUGGUAAGAACACAUAUUAUGCAUCAUAGAUCAUCACAUAUCAAGGCAUUCUCAUAGGAUUAGUAUACAUACUUGCACAACUCGUAACAUAACUCGAGUGCAUACUCACCAAUGACUUACCUCAUUGGGACCAUCAUCAACUCUUUCCUUGGAUUGCCCGUUGAACACUUGGAAUACUAAUUGGAUACUCGGAAAAGCCUUUGCACAUAAGU
rnacentral:lncRNA from 1 species